CCGCCGGCGACCGGCGCACGGGUGAGUAACACGUAUGCAACCUGGCCGUGACAGAUGGAUAACCGGGAGAAAUCCCGCCUAAUACAACAUAAUGCCGGGAGGGGACAUCCCCUGCCGGCCAAAGGGGGCGACCCCGGUCACGGAUGGGCAUGCGGCGCAUUAGGUAGUUGGUGGGGGCAACGGCCCACCAAGCCGACGAUGCGUAGGGGUUCUGAGAGGAAGGUCCCCCACAUUGGAACUGAGACACGGUCCAAACUCCUACGGAAGGCAGCAG
rnacentral:rRNA from 1 species